rnacentral:rRNA from 1 species
UACGUAGGUGGCAAGCGUUGUCCGGAUUUACUGGGCGUAAAGAGCGCGCAGGCGGUCGUUCAAGUCGCGUGUGAAAGCCCCCGGCUCAACUGGGGAGGGUCACGCGAUACUGAUCGACUCGAAGGCAGGAGAGGGAAGUGGAAUUCCCGGUGUAGUGGUGAAAUGCGUAGAUAUCGGGAAGAACACCAGUGGCGAAGGCGCUCUGCUGGACCAUAACUGACACUCAGGGACGAAAGCUAGGGGAGCGAAUGGG